GUUUUUUUUGUUUUACAAAUAAGGAUCUAGAAAGCAUAGCAUACAUUUGUGGAAGAAGGUGCUCUGGUCAGAUGAAACCAAAAUUAAACAUACAAAAUUAUAUGUAUGAUGGAAAGCUAAUGCUACACAUCACCCUGAACACACCAUCUCUGUGGUGAAACAUGGUGGUGGCUGCAUUAUACUGUGGGGGAUGCUUUUUUUUCCAGCAUAAGUGGUAAACUAAUUAGUGCUAAUGGAAAAAUGAUGGCCCUAUAUACAGGGCAAAUCUUGAAGAAAACCUGUUAGAGACUUCAAAAGACGGGAGACUGGGUGGAAAUGUUUACCUUCCAGGACGACAUUCAUCCGAAACGUACAGCCAGAGCUGCAGUGUAAUGGUUUAGGUCAAAGCAUGUUUGCAUGCUAGAAUGGUAUAGAAAAAGUUUACCUAAAUCAAAUUGGGAAUCUAAAAAAAAUAAUAUUAAUAAUAAUUUGUCCUCCUUUACAGCUAUUCGUUUUUUUAAACGUAUAUUUAUUACAUAAAUUAUAUUUAGGUGUACGGUUUUAGCAUGACAAUAAAUAAAUAAAUUCAAGAGAUUUAUUCUCUACAAGGCGUUGCAUGCUCAAUGUUGUUCUGUAUUGUCACCAGGUGUUACCCUGGUGCAAUUUCUUUUUGGACAAAAAAAAGAAAGAGUACACAUGACAGAAAUACCAGACAACAGAAAAUCACUCUGAUAUUCGAACAAGGGCUCAAAUUGAAUUAUGAUUAAUAUUUAUAUUUCAAAAGCAGAGCAGACGAGAGCCUACCAAAAAAAUGUCGCUGUACUUUUCCAUAUCUGGAGUAAGAAAGUAUGCCUGUUAAGGCAGAACCCGUUGUGAAAGGGGUUCUCCAGAGACUCAGAAAGAGUGUGCUGUCAUCAAGGUAAUAAUGUUUGCUUGUUGUUCCAAUAAAACCAUCUUUGUUUGUUGUUUUCCAA